rnacentral:rRNA from 1 species
UACGAAGGGGGCUAGCGUUGUUCGGAUUUACUGGGCGUAAGGCGCACGUAGGCGGAUCGAUCAGUCAGGGGUGAAAUCCCAGAGCUCAACUCUGGAACUGCCUUUGAUACUGUCGAUCUGGAGUAUGGAAGAGGUGAGUGGAAUUCCGAGUGUAGAGGUGAAAUUCGUAGAUAUUCGCAAGAACACCAGUGGCGAAGGCGGCUCACUGGCCCGAUACUGACGCUGAGGUGCGAAAGCGUGGGGAGCAAACAGG